AUUGAACGCUGGCGGCAUGCCUUACACAUGCAAGUCGAACGGUAACAGGUCUUCGGAUGCUGACGAGUGGCGAACGGGUGAGUAAUGCAUCGGAACGUGCCCAGUAGUGGGGGAUAGCCCGGCGAAAGCCGGAUUAAUACCGCAUACGACCUGAGGGUGAAAGGGGGGGAUCGCAAGACCUCUCGCGAUUGGAGCGGUCGAUGUCAGAUUAGCUAGUUGGGGGGGUAAAGGCAUACCAAGGCAACGAUCUGUAGUUGGUCUGAGGACGACCAGCCACACUGGGACUGAGACACGGCCCAGACUCCUACGGGAGGCAGCAGUGGGGAAUUUUGGACAAUGGGCGCAAGCCUGAUCCAGCAAUGCCGCGUGCAGGAAGAAGGCCUUCGGGUUGUAAACUGCUUUUGUCAGGGAAGAAAUCUUCUGGGUUAAUACCUCGGGAGGAUGACGGUACCUGAAGAAUAAGCACCGGCUAACUACGUGCCAGCCGCCGCAGUAACAC
rnacentral:rRNA from 1 species